GCCGAAAUGGCGGAAUUGGUAGACGCGCUACGUUCAGGUCGUAGUAGGGAUCCCCCUGUGGAAGUUCGAGUCUUCUUUUCGGCACCA
rnacentral:tRNA from 1 species